CAAAACGCUGCUCCGAACAAUCGGAACCAAACGAUGAAACGUUGUCCGGAGC
rfam:Paenibacillus sp. HGF7 contig00072, whole genome shotgun sequence.